rnacentral:rRNA from 1 species
GUGGUAAUGCCGGAUGCUCCAGUUGACCGCAUGGUCCUCUGGGAAAGCUUUUGCGGUAUGGGAUGGGGUCGCGUCCUAUCAGCUUGAUGGCGGGGUAACGGCCCACCAUGGCUUCGACGGGUAGCCGGCCUGAGAGGGCGACCGGCCACAUUGGGACUGAGAUACGGCCCAGACUCCUACGGGAGGCAGCAGUGGGGAAUAUUGCACAAUGGGCGCAAGCCUGAUGCAGCGACGCCGCGUGCGGGAUGACGGCCUUCGGGUUGUAAACCGCUUUUGACUGGGAGCAAGCCCUUCGGGGUGAGUGUACCUUUCGAAUAAGCACCGGCUAACUACGUGCCAGCAGCCGCGGUAAUACGUAGGGUGCAAGCGUUAUCCGGAAUUAUUGGGCGUAAAGGGCUCGUAGGCGGUUCGUCGCGUCCGGUGUGAAAGUCCAUCGCUUAACGGUGGAUCCGCGCCGGGUACGGGCGGGCUUGAGUGCGGUAGGGGAGACUGGAAUUCCCGGUGUAACGGUGGAAUGUGUAGAUAUCGGGAAGAACACC